UGGGGAAUUUUGGACAAUGGGCGAAAGCCUGAUCCAGCCAUGCCGCGUGCAGGAUGAAGGCCUUCGGGUUGUAAACUGCUUUUGUACGGAACGAAAAGACUCUGGUUAAUACCUGGGGUCCAUGACGGUACCGUAAGAAUAAGCACCGGCUAACUACGUGCCAGCAGCCGCGGUAAUACGUAGGGUGCAAGCGUUAAUCGGAAUUACUGGGCGUAAAGCGUGCGCAGGCGGUUAUAUAAGACAGAUGUGAAAUCCCCGGGCUCAACCUGGGAACUGCAUUUGUGACUGUAUAGCUAGAGUACGGCAGAGGGGGAUGGAAUUCCGCGUGUAGCAGUGAAAUGCGUAGAUAUGCGGAGGAACACCGAUGGCGAAGGCAAUCCCCUGGGCCUGUACUGACGCUCAUGCACGAAAGCGUGGGGGAGCAAACAGGAUUAGAUACCCUGGUAGUCCACGCCCUAAACGAUGUCAACUGGUUGUUGGGUCUUCACUGACUCAGUAACGAAGCUAACGCGUGAAGUUGACCGCCUGGGGAGUACGGCCGCAAGGUUGAAACUCAAAGGAAUUG
rnacentral:rRNA from 1 species